GCUACCACAUCCAAGGAAGGCAGCAGGCGCGCAAAUUACCCACUCCCGGCACGGGGAGGUAGUGACGAAAAAUAACGAUACGGGACUCAUCCGAGGCCCCGUAAUCGGAAUGAGCACACUUUAAAUCCUUUAACGAGUAUCCAUUGGAGGGCAAGUCUGGUGCCAGCAGCCGCGGUAAUUCCAGCUCCAAUAGCGUAUAUUAAAGUUGUUGCGGUUAAAAAGCUCGUAGUCGGACUUGUGUCCCACGCUGCCGGUUCACCGCCCGUCGGUGUCUAACUGGCAUGCACGUGCGGACGUCCUGCCGGUGGCCCGAUCCCGGCCUGUCUUUUCCGGGGUGCGGAAACGUUUCCUCGGGAGCGGGUGUCUUUGGGUAGGGCCUACUCAUACCCGUCGCGGUGCUCUUAACCGAGUGUCUCGAUGGGCCGGCACGUUUACUUUGAACAAAUUAGAG
rnacentral:rRNA from 1 species